rnacentral:rRNA from 1 species
AGCAGCCGCGGUAAUACGGAGGGUGCGAGCGUUAAUCGGAAUUACUGGGCGUAAAGCGCAUGCAGGUGGUUUGUUAAGUCAGAUGUGAAAGCCCCGGGGCUCAACCUCGGAAUAGCAUUUGAAACUGGCAGACUAGAGUACUGUAGAGGGGGGUAGAAUUUCAGGUGUAGCGGUGAAAAUGCGUAGAGAUCUGAAGGAAUACCGGUGGCGAAGGCGGCCCCCCUGGACAGAUACUGACACUCAGAUGCGAAAAGCGUGGGGGAGCAAACAGGAUUAGAUACCCCUGGUAG